GGAGGGUGCAAGCGUUAUCCGGAUUCACUGGGUUUAAAGGGUGCGUAGGUGGGCAGGUAAGUCAGUGGUGAAAUCCCCGAGCUUAACUUGGGAACUGCCGUUGAUACUAUCUGUCUUGAAUAUCGCGUAGGUAAGCGGAAUAUGUCAUGUAGCGGUGAAAUGCUUAGAUAUGACAUAGAACACCAAUUGCGAAGGCAGCUUACUUCACGAUCAUUGACACUGAGGCACGAAAGCGUGGGGAGCAAACAGGAUUAGAUACCCUGGUAGUCCACGCCCUAAACGAUGGAUACUCGACAUCAGCGAUACACUGUUGGUGUCUGAGCGAAAGCAUUAAGUAUCCCACCUGGGAAGUACGACCGCAAGGUUGAA
rnacentral:rRNA from 1 species